rnacentral:rRNA from 1 species
GACGAACGCUGGCGGCGUGCUUAACACAUGCAAGUCGAGCGGUAAGGCCCUUUCGGGGGGUACACGAGCGGCGAACGGGCGAGUAACACGUGGGUGACCUGCCCUCAGCUCUGGGAUAAGCCUGGGAAACCGGGUCUAAUACCGGAUAUGACUCCAUGACGCAUGUUGUGGGGUGGAAAGCCUUGUGCGGCUGAGGAUGGGCCCGCGGCCUAUCAGCUUGUUGGUGGGGUGAUGGCCUACCAAGGCGACGACGGGUAGCCGGCCUGAGAGGGCGACCGGCCACACUGGGACUGAGACACGGCCCAGACUCCUACGGGAGGCAGCAGUGGGGAAUCUUGCGCAAUGGGCGAAAGCCUGACGCAGCGACGCCGCGUGGGGAUGAAGGU